ACGUAGGGAGCGAGCGUUAUCCGGAUUUAUUGGGUGUAAAGGGUGCGUAGACGGGAAAUUAAGUUAGUUGUGAAAUCCCACGGCUCAACUGUGGAACUGCAACUAAAACUGAUUUUCUUGAGUACUGGAGAGGAAAGUGGAAUUCCUAGUGUAGCGGUGAAAUGCGUAGAUAUUAGGAGGAACACCAGUGGCGAAGGCGACUUUCUGGACAGAAACUGACGUUGAGGCACGAAAGUGUGGGGAGCAAACAG
rnacentral:rRNA from 1 species